rnacentral:lncRNA from 1 species
ACCCUUUUUCUUCUUGGCAUGUGGAAGAUGGACACUCAGCCCUUAGGCAUGCGAAAAAGAAGAGGGAGAGAGGGUGAGGUGUGGAGAGGAGAGAGGAGAAUUUUGAUUUCACAAAAUUCUAUUAAUUAAAAUCCUAAGAGACUGUCUCUUUAUAUAGAUCCUUUCUUGAUCCAAAUCAAGAACCAAUCAACAUAAAAAGGCUGUCUUUAUCUCAUAAAAAUUUUAUCUUUUUAAUCUAAUUAUUUCUCAUUAAAAUCAGACUUAAUUGGUGAGAUCUAAAACUUUUUUGGCAA